rnacentral:rRNA from 1 species
AUUGAACGCUGGCGGAAUGCUUUACACAUGCAAGUCGAGCGGCAGCGCGGGGGCAACCCUGGCGGCGAGCGGCGAACGGGUGAGUAACAUAUCGGAACGUACCCAGUCGUGGGGGAUAACUAUCCGAAAGGAUAGCUAAUACCGCAUACGACCUGAGGGUGAAAGCGGGGGGACCGUAAGGCCUCGCGCGAUUGGAGCGGCCGAUAUCGGAUUAGCUAGUUGGUGAGGUAAAGGCUCACCAAGGCGACGAUCCGUAGCUGGUCUGAGAGGACGACCAGCCACACUGGAACUGAGACACGGUCCAGACUCCUACGGGAGGCAGCAGU